rnacentral:lncRNA from 1 species
GCAUAUGGAGAUUCCCAGGCUAUGGGUCAAAUCAGAGCUGCAGCUGCUGGCCUACAUAUGCCACAGUCACAGCAACACAAGAUCCGAGCCGCGUCUGUGACCUACACCAUAGCUCAUGGCAACGCCAGAUCCCUAAGCCACUGUUUGAGGCCAGGGAUCAAACCUGCAUCCUCAUGGAUACUAGUCAGAUUGGUUUCUGCUGAGCCACAACGGGAACUCCACCCUACUUUUUACUAUCUACACAACACCACUCAAAUCAGUCUGUUAAAUUAUUAAAUAAUUCUUAAAUAAUGCUACAAAAGCUUGUAGUGGUUUUAUUUAUGUUUUUGGCUGUGCCCAUGGCAUGUGGAAGCUCCAGGGCCAGGGAUCAAACCCACCCCAGAGCAGUGACAACACUGGAUCCUUAACCCACUGAACCACCAGAGAACUCCAAGUUUGUAGUAAUUUGACUUUUUCCUUUUUUUUGUCUUUUUACGGCCACACCCACAGCAUAUGGGACAUCCCAGGUUAGGGGUCAAAUCAGAGCUACAGGUGCCAGCCUACACCAGAGCCACAGCAAUUUGGGAUCCAAGCCGCAUCUGUGUCCUACACUACAGCUCACUGUAUCCUUAACCCACUGAGCGAGGCCACUGGAUCCUUAACCCACUAAGCGAGGCCAGGGAUCCAACCCACAUCCUCAUGGUUCCUAGUCAAAUUGGUUUCUGCUGAGCCACGACGGGAACUCCCUGCAAGCUUCUUAUCAAUGUGAAUAUGUGUGGUUUGCUUUCUUCAUAUCUUUCCUCCACUCUCAAGCACACAUUUUUGAUGAGUGAUCUUUUAUUAUUCUAAUAGCUGUAAGGAUGCAUAUGAAACAGCUCGUCUUUAGAAUCUUCGAGCCAAUGAGAGAAAGAGGGUUCCAUCCCCAAACUAUGGCAAUGAUCUUUGCACCACAGGGAAUGUGGUCUGUGCCUAGAACCACCCAGAGCUCUAGCCUCCAGAGGAGAAGGCAGCCCCCCGCCCUUGUGGGGAUGGUUAUGGCUUCCUGGAGGAGGCGGACAUUCAGAAGGGCCUCCGAAGAUGCGGAAGGCUUCCAUGAAGACAGAUUCGGUGGAGAACAGGAGUUCUGGGAAGGGGAGCCUCACAAGCACUUCCGGAAAGUCUCAGUUUAGCCGAAUGGAGGUACCGCUAGGGCAGAGAUGGAAGGAACAGAGCAGCUACAAAGGCUUUAAGUUUGUGUCGCUAUUUCCAGCACAACCCCUGGCACGUCCGUUAUCUCAUUCAACCUCCUUCAGCACCACAGGGAGGCAGGUCUUCAACAGAGGUGAGCCUUUGUGCUUCACUAGAGAAUAAGAGAAGCACUGGCGAGUUCCCGCUAGGAGAAGGGUGGUCAUGGUGCUGCCAGUACUUGGGAGGGGGUGGUGGGGACGGGGGUGGCUGUUGUGUUUGAUGUGCAUAAUGCCUACUUUCUUCUAGAAAUAGACCCUGCCCGACCUGUCAGGAUGAGAACUUCUGUCUGUGGGAUAUUUGGGUCAGGCCAGCAGGAGAACGGCUUUCUUUCCUCCCUGCUCUGAGGUCUAAGGUCUGGCCCAGAACUGUCACUUGCCUUGCUAUCUGGGGGGAUGGGAAGGCAGGAGAAGGGGCCACAUCCAAGUCCAGAGGCCCCCUGUGGCUCUGGGACUUGCCCCCAAAGACUCCCUGAAAACCCCCUUCCACUGAAGUCCCUUCUCUUUGGACUUCACCCUUUAUAACUGAGAGCGACCUCCCAAUACAGGUGGGCUGAGCAGGAGAGCUGGGGGCAUGGGGUCCAUUUAGGCGCUCUGCUCGUCUCAAAGUCUGUCUUAGCCUUUUCCUAAAAUACACCCUGUGCACCCUAAGUCUACAAAGUUCCCUUAAAAAGGGGAGGUCAACCAUUCAUUCAUUUAUUCAACAAAUAUGUACCGAGCACUUAGUGUUUGCCAGGCUGCACUCUGACUGUGAGGGGGAAGCUGGAAUGAGAGUCCAAACAGGUUUCUGUCUUUAUCGUGAACAUAGCCUCACGGGGCAGGCAGACUCUACAAAGUAAGCACAAUAAGAAAGCCUCAGCAUUCUGUCCUAGAAGGAAAACGUCACUUGCCCACAGUGACCCCAGGCUAUGCCCCAGGACCCUGCAGGGCCAGCACUGAGCGCAGGUCAAGCCUUUACUCGGAAGACGUCUGACAGAGAAGACAGGGUGGGGGAGAAAUCCACAGUAGUGGGGAUAGUGGAAGAUUCUUGCUGGUCCUCUUUCUUCAAAUGGAGGUCUCCUCAUCUUUAGUGAUUCGGCACAUAAACGGAGCUGCUCCCAACAUCCCUCUCGUGGACCUCCUGAAACCCUGUCACUGCAACCUUUCGGUUCCACUCUGCAAUUCUUUUGCCCUUGAGACCAUCAACGAACAGUGACCUCAAGUUCUGACAAUCAGAGAGACUGAACAACAAAAACUCGAAGGAAUGGGCCGGAAAUGAGCUUAGUGUGAAGCAAGAGGGGGAAGAGAUUAAAUUCACGUCCUAUCCAUUGCUAAUUGAUUUUUCUUGCGUGUUUUGACAAAUUGUUCCUCCCUAUACAUUUUGGACAUUUAUGAAGAAGUUAGAGGAAAUUCCUCACGCUCCGUAAGUUCUUGCUAUUUAUAUAUAUAUAUGUAUAUUCGGUAUCAUUUUCGUCACUUAAGAUCGGCAGCUGGUUGGGAUCAAUCCAGGGAUUUUGGCCUGGGUCACUGAGAUCCACGGGCCCCGAGUGAAACCAGGGUUGUAACGAUGCCUCACGGUCUUCUGCUAAAUGUCAAGACCAGAGGUGACAUCCUGCUGAAACCAGGAGAGGAGACUCGGUGAAAUGUUCCAGGUGACGUCGAAGGAAGAGAAAAUGCGGCUUAAACACAACCCCAAGUCAGGGCUUGAGACGGAGAGAUUUGCCCUGUUAGGGUAAUCAAUCCUACAGCCUAGAGGCACCCACAGCCCUACCAACACUCCCGAAAAUAUCCUAGGGCCCAAGACGCCCUGGGCUCACGGCGUCUGGCGGCUGCUUCCACACAGGCCCACCCUGGUCCGCUCCACUUCAACCCGGACACGGGACCCGGGCCCUCACUGGUUCUCCUUUACAAACGAGGUGUUUAAGAAGUUGGUAAACCUACCAAAGAACUGGGGGCCCGCAUGCAGCACAGCCUACGCGACCCACAGAUGGACCCGCUGUCACCAUCAGUCACUCCUGGGCUCUGGGUCCUUGUCCACCGCAGCGCUGGGGCCUCAGAGUCAGCGCCCCAACUCUGCUCCUUCUGCUGGCUCCCACAUCCUCUUCUCUCUACCCAGGGACUGCCCCUUUGGCUGGGGCAACAUAAACCCUUGCCCCUGAGGCCCCAGGGUCUCAACCCCUAUUAUUCGUGUGCAUCAAAGUAUUUUUCCAAAUCAAGACAGUUCC